AAUCCGUUGAGCAAGUGAAUGAUUUUUACUAAUUGGGCAUAUUCCUUAUCCCUUCAAGAAAAUUUGAAUUUCAAAUAUUGAAUUUUCCCCCAAUCUGUUCUAAUUUCCCUUCUAUAUAUACCUCCUUCAGUCUUUGUUUUAGGGGGACGGAAAAUAGUUAGAGGAUAGGUUCUGAAAAUACACAUAUAUUUUUCACUUUGAAAAGCAAGAAAAGAUCUCUGGAUUACCAAAAAAAAUUUUCUAUCAAGAAACAGCGUGUCCUGCUAGAAAAGGACCUCGAAUAUGAAGUUUCUAUUUGGUCUCGAUUUUUCGGUGAGGUUCUAUUCGUAUAUUGGCUUUCUUCAGCUCGUCUCGUUCCAAGUUCGUUGCUCCCGAAAAGGUUCUGAUGCAUAUCAUUAGGUCCGCGGUUAGUACAGGUUGCUAUCAACAGUUGAGCUAGUUGGUGAAUCCUCAUGUUUCGAGAACGAUGUUAUCUUUCUAUUUCAGUACUUUUAUUUCAGUUUCAAAUUUUAGAGUUAGCUAGGGACAUAUCCUAACAACUCACUUAUGUAGUAGAGGCUCUUAGACAGUUAAUUUAGAUUUCUGCUUAUGUCUUUGUAUCAGAUUCUCUAUCAUGCUAUAUUAGCCUACUUUAGAUUUAUUCCAUUUUUCAGUUA